rnacentral:rRNA from 1 species
UACGGGGGGAGCAAGCGUUGUUCGGAUUUACUGGGCGUAAAGGGCGCGUAGGCGGCGCAACAAGUCACUUGUGAAAUCUCCGGGCUUAACCCGGAGCGGCCAAGUGAUACUGUCGUGCUAGAGUGCGGAAGGGGCUACUGGAAUUCUCGGUGUAGCGGUGAAAUGCGUAGAUAUCGAGAGGAACACCUGCGGCGAAGGCGGGUAGCUGGGCCGACACUGACGCUGAGGCGCGAAAGCCAGAGGAGCGAACGGG